rnacentral:lncRNA from 1 species
CUACCCUUAAGCAUCAUAAUUACCCAGCCCUUUUUCGCUAGCCAACCCCAAGUAUUUAUUACAACUUAUUGCAAACUAGAAAUACUGAAUUACAAAAGAAAGAAUGAAAGAAAAAGCUACAAUCAUAGGAAAGCCUGAUUUGACUUCCUGUUUGAGAUAUGGAAUGAACUGUAUCAUUGCCAAUGCCAUUGAUUUCAAAGUCUUUCUCAGACCUGAGUGUGUCAGAGUUCCCUAAGGAUCUGAAAAGACCCCGGAUAGUGCUUACACCCAGAUUCAUAGAACCAGAUAAAGAUUAGUGCAGUGUGGAAGGGCCAGCCCUUAUGUGUCCAUGUUUAGAGGGAUCUCAUGGGUCCCAAGAAAAGCUCACACAAGAGGGGCAGAACUUAAGCCUAAGAAUGUGGUGAAAUCUUAGGAACAGAGUUUUAAAACUGUAGGGAGAAAGGAAUGGGGCAAAAAGGGUGAUAGGGAAACAAUAAUUAGUGAAACACAGAGUUAAUAACUUCAUACAAAGGGAUAGGGGGUUGGGAAUCCAUUGCAAGGAGCCUAUGUACUUAGGCAUGGAUCAUUUUGGGCAUGCACUACAAUAGUAGGUGCUGACAUACCUAUAAACCAAUCAGAACACACAACAAUUAGAGGAUACAAGGAUGUUAUGAUCCCAGGGGAUCAGGUUUGGGUCAUGCACAACAAUUUCUAAUGCUGUCAUGCCCCAAACUAACCACAUAUACUUAAAUAUAUUGGAGAUGGGGAUUUAGAAUUCACAAGUCAUAAUAAGUAAUUGACAAAAGCAUUAAUUCAGAACAGAAAAGGCAGGCUACAACAUGCUUAAUAAUGGAAUUUGGCUAAAUACAAAAAAGAGACAAACAAGGAUGAAAGAAACAGUGAAGAAAUAUGUUGUUGUUGAUGCAAAAGAUUAUCAGAAUAUACCGUAAAGAUGCAAAAUGCAAAAAUAAGCAAGCUUUCCAUGGCCUAGCCUUGGCUUUCAGCGGGCUAGGUAAGGCAACAGUACAAGUAGCAACAGAGAGAAGAGAUUUUAAUGGGGUGUGUGUCUGAAAACAAGUGUUUAUGCCUUGUGUUCA